AACAAGAAUGGGCAAACCUUCAAUUCAAUUGUCAGUUAAGAAGAAAGACAAACUUGUGAGGAUACAAAGAGAACCUUUGAGACAACAAGCUUUUAAAUUCAAUAGAGUUAGUUCAAAUUCUUUGUUUCUUCAUUACAACAAACAGACUAUUAAGACAAUACAAGAAAGCUUUAGUAACCGAGAAGAAGCCUCGGGCGCCACUGUUUAGAGCAUCUGCAAACAGACAACCAGUUUUUAAAAGUUGAGACGGAGCCGGCUGUUUCUGGUUGUGGUGAGACGAUUUGGAAGGAGCCAAAGCUUUGCUGUAGAUCUGCUCGCCGAUGCCGAUGCCAAGACCGGGAAGAGCGUGUCUCAUUUGGUUCUAGAGCAUCGGAUGCUUUCUCCAUUGAUCUCUUCGCCGGAAAAACUCGCCGGUAGUACCCAAAGGCUUCGCCAUUUUCUCCGGUUAUUCGAUUCAAUACUUCUGGGUCGGUACGUUCUUCUUAGCUUCGACUCUCAUAUGACAAAUCAUGGGCUUUCUUUAAUUUCUGGGCCUUUUGAUGGGCUUUAUCAUAAUUAUGUAUCUAUGAUAAUGUGGGAAAGUGUUUGCUACCGUUGGAUCAGUAUUUGUUUCGUUGCAACCGUGCAAA